CAGUAGCCGCGGGAAUACGUAGGCGGCAAGCGUUGUCCGGAUUUACUGGGCGUAAAGCGAACGCAGGCGGACUGUUAAGUAGGAGUGAAAGGUCGGAGCUCAACUCCAACAUUGCUUCCUAUACUGGCAGUCUUGAGUAGCGGAGAGGAAGGGGGAACGACACGUGUAGCGGUGAAAUGCGUUGAUAUGUGUCGGAACACCCAUGGCAAAAGCACCCUUCUGGACGCAAACUGACGCUCAGGUUCGAAAGCCAAGGUAGCGAACAGGAUUAGAGACCCCAGUAGUCCCUGUCUCUUAUACA
rnacentral:rRNA from 1 species